AUACGGAGGAUCCGAGCGUUAUCCGGAUUUAUUGGGUUUAAAGGGUGCGCAGGCGGGCAUUUAAGUCAGCGGUUAAAUCGUGGGGCUCAACCCCAUUCUGCCGUUGAUACUGGGUGGCUUGAUUGCGGUCGAGGUUGGCGGAAUUCGUUGUGUAGCGGUGAAAUGCAUAGAUAUGACGAAGAACACCGAUUGCGUAGGCAGCUGACCAGACCGCAAAUGACGCUCAUGCACGAAAGUGCGGGGAUCGAACAGGAUUAGAUACCCUGGUAGUCCGCACAGUAAACGAUGAAUACUUGUUUUCGGCGAUAUAAUGUCGGAGGCAAAGCGAAAGCGAUAAGUAUUCCACCUGGGGAGUACGCCGGCAACGGUGAAACUCAAAUGAAUUGACGGG
rnacentral:rRNA from 1 species